GCCGGGUCGCCCAUCCUGAAGGUGGAGCUGCGGAGCGGGCGGAGGAGGAGGAGGAGAUUUAACUGCUGUAACCUGUGGUCACCCCUCAAGACAAUAUAAACAGGACUCUGGGAGUUCAUCACGGUGAAGUAUAACCCUUGGUUCCUGCUUCAAAGUGCAUCUUUAUAACCAGUGUUUGCACAAGCCGAGGUGAUGUGGACACCUGCAUUUUGGUGUCUGCCCGCUUGGGACUCGGGUUCUGAGCUCUUGCGACAGUCCCUGAAGAGCUGGUCGACGCGGGGCUUGGUUUCGCUGCCGGCACGUAGCGCCCUCGGUGACGCCCUGGGGCCCAUCGCCCGCGCUGUGGGUGCUCCUCCAGGUUGGCUCUGGUCUCACAAACGUCUCCUGUCGUACCUUCAAGCUCCACGCAGACAUCUCUUGACGGUGUAGAACGUUUCAGAGGGCUUUCAAGCACCCCCCGUGGAAGCGGCUGAAAAAAGUCCUACCAUCAACAGCGCGAGGAGAGCAAGUCGGCUGAGAAAUGAUCACCGGUUCAGAACCUCAUCCACUCCUGCUUCCAGCGGGUAUCAAACAGAAAACCCUCGCCUGUCUUCAGGGUUCAGGUGCCCUGUGCAUAUGGAGACAUCUGAAAGGUCUCCGAAUCUUGAGCCAAAUCCUACCCAGACACAAAAAGUCAAACAGCUUCGUGCAGGGCUGUCUGUCGCUGCGGAGUUUGUGUCCUGCAGAGAUGCAGACACCCGCUAGAAAUGAAUUAACACUUGGCAGCCAGGUCGCUGGUCGCCCAAGAGCUAGCAGGUAUCCCCCUUCAACAGCGUGGCUUCUCACAGCUCCAUAAAUUUCCUGGGCUUAAGAGAAGUUACCAGCAGCUGCGGCUCAGCCCUGGGGUUUUUAAAUCAAGAUAUCCCACUGUGGUACAAAAUAUUCUAUAGGUUGGGUUCCAAUUUUUGAGAGGGGAAAUCACCGCGCACAUUGAGCGGCCAGUGCUGCACACAUCAGGUUAGAUUGUCAUCAGCAUCGUUCCCUUCCCUGCCUAAAACCUGAAAUUUUAACACAGAUUUCAUUAGUUGGGAGCUAUCGUGACACGGCCUUUCUCUUCAUAAAACGGUAACUUGGGAAAUAAAUUUCUCAAUAUGUUCUGAACAGUUCACUUAGGGAUUUCUGUGGUUAUAUCACCCUAAACUCUUGUUUUGCAGGAUAAACUUUAUGAAUAGAAAUAAAUCACCGCAGGUGAGGGCAGAGAAAAGUAGUUUUGGGUGGGACUGAUACCACCUAACUUUAGCUGUUUUGAAGUACAGCAACCCAUCCAAGCUGGGCAUCCAGAUAUUUUUCCGUAGCAAACAACGGAAGAGUAGCAUCUUCAGAACAUAAUUCAUCCCAUUUUAAAAGAGGAGAGUGGAGCAGGCAGGAUGGACUGUUCUCCAGAAAGGCUUCUUUCAUUCAACUCACAUCAAGUGCCCUAGUGAGUAGCUUAGAGUAGAUAGCUUGAUUUUUUUUGAUAACUGAAAUUAGGCAGAAAUUGUUUCCUUUGUUUACCUAGGAGAAACUGCAGAAUUUUAAAGCAAAUUUCAACCCCGUAAAAAUGUUACUCAUAUUACACAUUUACCAGCCAUUCCAAAAUAAAUCAGCUAUUUAGCACAAUAUCCUUCACAUUCCCCAUCAUAAUGAGUAUUUUGCAUUCCCCACUCCAGAUUUUCCUUACUGAUCUCAUAGUUCUCAAGAUUUAUUCCCUUCCUUACUAAGACCUUUUUUUCUUCCUGAACCCCAAAUUCAGAUUUGCUAAAAUAUUUGUCUUUUUGAAGUUCUUCCAACUCACUGAAAGUCUGAAGUCCAUUCAGAUAAAUCCAUAUGAAUGGCUAAAAUAUAUUAAGGACUUUUCUUUAUUUAAACUGUCAAUAAUGAAGAAAUACAGUGAUAACAUGUAAACUGUCCCUGGACUUUGGGGUAACAUUUCUCUAAGGCAACUGCACAGCCCACUGCUCUGCUGGAGGUACUGAUGUGAUCUAGCUUGCAAAUACAAAGAAACGGUGUAUAACUGAAUUUCAUUUAUAAUCUCCCAUAUUAAAUUCUGCAGAGAGCACCAAAUACCUUCAAAAUCUGUAAAAACAUCACUUCUGUAAAUAAAGCAAGGAUAUUUUUUCCUAGCAGGCUGACUUGUAAUAGAUUAGAUAGUGGAAAAAGUAUUGCAUGUCACCUAAAAUGUAUUUUUGGCAGCCUGUUUUGCUUAUAUGCAUACAUAUAUAUACACUUGGUCAAAAUAUUGUGGCUUGCUUUGUGAUUCUGUUUUCAUCUGACAGCAAAACCGUACAAUAAUAAUAAUAAAAAAAAAAAAAAAAAAAAAAA